UACGUAGGGGGCAAGCGUUGUCCGGAAUCACUGUGCGUAAAGCGCGCGCAGGCGGUCAUAUACGUCUGGGGUGAAAGCCCGGAGCUCAACUCCGGGAUUGCCUUGGAUACGGGAUGACUUGAGGAUCGGAGAGGCAAGGGGAAUUCCACGUGUAGCGGUGAAAUGCGUAGAGAUGUGGAGGAACACCUGUGGCGAAGGCGCCUUGCUGGCCGAUUUCUGACGCUGAGGCGCGAAAGCGUGGGGAGCAAACAGG
rnacentral:rRNA from 1 species